rnacentral:misc_RNA from 1 species
UCUCCGUAGGUGAACCUGCGGAGGGAUCAUUACAAGUGACCCCGGUCUUACCACUGGGAUGUUCCUAACCAUUUGUUGUCCGACUCUGUUGCCUCCGGGUCAACCCUGCCUUCGGGCGGGAGCUCCGGGUGGACACUUCAAACGCUUGCGUAACUUUGAAGUCUGAUUAAACUUAAUUAAUAAAUUAAAACUUUUAACAACGGAUCUCUUGGUUCUG